GAGGUAAUGGCUCUCCAAGGCUAUGACGGAUAUCUGGUUUCAGAGGAUGAUCAGACACACUGGAACUGAGACACGGUCCUGACUCCUACGGGAGGCAGCAGUGAGGAAUAUUGCACAAUGGAGGAAACUCUGAUGCAGCAACGCCGCGUGGAGGAUGACGCAUUUCGGUGUGUAAACUCCUUUUAUUAGGGAAGAUAAUGACGGUACCUAAUGAAUAAGCACCGGCUAACUCCGUGCCAGCAGCCGCGGUAAUACGGAGGGUGCAAGCGUUACUCGGAAUCACUGGGCGUAAAGGGUGCGUAGGCUGGCUUUUAAGUCAGAUGUGAAAUCCAAUGGCUCAACCAUUGAACUGCAUUUGAAACUGAAAGCCUAGAGUUCAGAAGGGGCAGAUGGAAUUAGUGGUGUAGGGGUAAAAUCCGUAGAUAUCACUAGGAAUAUCAAAAGCGAA
rnacentral:rRNA from 1 species